rnacentral:misc_RNA from 1 species
UCCGAGUUGACCCCGGCAGUCUCCCAUGAGUCCCCGGCAUAACCCGCUGGCAACAUGGAACGAGGGUUGCGCUCGUUGCGGGACUUAACCCAACAUCUCACGACACGAGCUGACGACAACCAUGCACCACCUGUAAACCGGCCACAAGUGGCCGACACAUCUCUGCGCCGUUCCGGUUCAUGUCAAGCCUUGGUAAGGUUCUUCGCGUUGCAUCGAAUUAAUCCGCAUGCUCCGCCGCUUGUGCGGGCCCCCGUCAAUUCCUUUGAGUUUUAGCCUUGCGGCCGUACUCCCCAGGCGGGGCACUUAAUGCGUUAGCUACGGCGCGGAAAACGUGGAAUGUCCCCCACACCUAGUGCCCAACGUUUACGGCAUGGACUAC